GACGUCAUACAACUGUCACUACCGCUCAAUUGCAUACGAAACUAACAUUGAGAAUUUCAAAUUGUAAUUUGCAAACAAUAUAAUCAGUUAUAGAAGAUAAAACAACGCUUUAAUUCAGGUCAAAAACAUUGGUGACGUGAAGUUAGGGAAGUCAACCAUUUCCCUGCGCCUGUACCUCAACGGGAAAAGACAUAACGAACAAAGCAAUGGACAAAUACACGAAUUGGCCGCUGCCGCUGCGCCAGCUGCCAGAUUCCACGCCACGCUAACUCUUGCGGGACAUGCCAGUGCGCCGAGCCUCGCUGUCGCCGAGCCUCGCUGUUGCCGAGCUUCGCUGCCGCAGAGUUGCGGCCUCAUCGUGGCGCAGGCACCUGGAUCAGCUGCCGUCCGGCUGUCUCCAGUUUAUCCCGCCAUCUCUCCAGUCUGCUCUGGACCUCAAGCGCAUCUUCCCCAACAAGAACAAUGUCAUCGGCGAACAGCAUACACCAGGGUGCUUCCUCCUGGAUCUCCACGGUUAACGCGUUGAUAACCAGGAGGAACAGAUAAGGGCUUACGCCGAUCCCUGGUGCAGGCCCACAGCCACACUGAACUUGUCGGUUACGCCGGCUUCGGACCUGACGUGAGUGUUCGCUCUUUCAUACAUAGCAAUCACGAGUCGCACGUACUUCCCAGGCACUUGUCUAUCUUUCAUCGCCAACCACAGAACCUUACGGGGGAUUUGGUUGUAUGCCUUUUCAAGGUCAACAAACACCAUAUGCAAGUUCUUAUGUACACGUCUGUACUUUUCACAAAGCUGACGUAACGCAAAUAUGGCAUCCGUUGUUCCUCGACCAUAUGCCUCAACCGUAUGCCAUCAGGACCCACUGCUUUACCAUUCUUCAUAUCUCUCACUACCAUUUUAACCUCAUCCUAACUGAUCUCAUUUACCAACGCCAUAUUGACCGGUGUUCUCGGUACGACGCCAUUUCAUUCAUUCUUCUCAUUCAUAAAAUUUCUGAAAUAUACUUUCCAUCGCUCUUUUAUAUCUCCAUCUUUCAACAAAAUUUUACCAUUUUCAUCCUUCAUACAUUUUACGUGCAUAAUAUCUCUCGCUUUUUUGUCCUUGCGGUGUGUCUAGUUCUUGGUACAGUUUGUUCUGUACAGCAGCUUUAGCCACCGCAACCGAUCUUCUAGCAAUUUUCCUAAGGAUUGCUACUUUAAACAUUUCAUUUAAAUAUCGAAUAUUGAGAAGUUUUUUAGAUAAUUUGCUGGUUAAUACUUAUUAUUUUAACAGCCGUUACCAAUUAUUGCACCUGUAUAACUGAUAAAGUUAAAAAUUUGAAUUGUAAAUCUACAAUAAAUAGAUAUAAUGAUAUAUAAGCAUCGCUUAAUUCGCAUAAAGCUUGACUUAAUACGGCGCCCUACUUUACUUAAAAUUCAGUUUUCUUGUUUCUAACUUUUCCAUUUUACUUUUUGUUUAGCAAAAUAAAACAGAGACAAUAAAUUGCAGUUAGUGUAAUAGUAUAUGCCGACUAUUCCAGCCGCUGCCGCUGCGCCAGCUGCCAGAUCCUGCGUGCCGCCGCGCUCACUCUUGCGUGACAUACCAGUACGCCGAGCCUCGCUGUUGCCGAGCUUCGCUACCGCAGAAUUGCGACCUUAUCGCGGCGCAGGCACCAGGAUCAGCUACCGCCGCUGCCGCUGCGCCAGUCUUCUGCGGGACAUACGAGUGCGCCGAGCCUCGCUGCCGCAGAGUUGCAGCGUCGCCGCAGCGAGGCGCCGGGAUCAGCCGACGGACCUGUUUGCUGUUUGACCGUUGUACAUAGCUACAGCGGUCUG